rnacentral:lncRNA from 1 species
GCGGGGCCUUGCGUCUUGACGGCUGCUCCCCUCCUUUCCUCCCGCCACAAGCGCUCGCUGUGGUUCUGGCAGCGAAGUGCGAGACUGGGCUCGCCAGGCGGAAGUGGUUGGAGACUGCGUGUUUUCCUAGAAAGUCCUCGACCUUCGUCGGGGAGAGGAGGGGAGUGAUAAAUUGGAAGGCGGACAAGCGACAAGUGCGGUACUGGAAAGACCCAAACAUACUUGGUUGUGACCUCAGGACUCAAUAAAAUAAACAGCUGGAAAUAAGCAGACUAGUGUAAGAGUGAAUUGAAAAGAAAACCCAAGGUCACAUCUCCCAAGAAGCAGUAAUGUUCCAGCAAUAAGAAAAGGACAGUUUUUUGUCUUUUGCAUGGUGAGCCUUAUAUGAAUUACAUCAAUUUUGUCACCAAUAUCCAUCAUCAGAACAUUUUGGGGAAAAUGCCUAGAGGAGACAUCUUUAUUAAGGCCUUCAGAUGACACUUACCGUCAGUCAAUCGACCCACCUAUAAUGGCUGAAAUAUCAAAAAUCUGAAGGUGUUCUGAGCACAAGACACUUCUCCUCCACACCACCCCCACCCAUCAGCCAGCCAGCUGACUCUGAGGAUGAGGAGGAGGAGGAAGCAGCUGCUACAUCUUCGGGCUUUGCAGACACUGGAGGGACUGCCCUUGCAGGGCUGGAUAACUCCUACAUACAGCAAACAACCUGCUGUCAGCCACCUCUCACACAAAACCAAGUGGGCUAGAGCCCACACCCAGCACACCUUCUUCAUCAGGCCCUUACGCUUCUCGCCAUGAUUCCCCUGCCCUGGUCACCCUAGGGCUAGGUACAAGACAAUUAGGGACAGCCCCUACCUCCUAGCGCCGUCUGUAAUGAUUCAGACUAGCUACUUAUCCUAAUCCUGCUCAUCCUGCUGCACCUUCCUUCCUGUGGAAAACACCAUGGAGGCUCUUGGCAGUGUUUCCCCACAUCCCUCUCCCCUUCACUGACCCUGGCGCUUCCCCAUGUGUCCCCUGUAUGGUGUGGCAUGGGCCCUGUCUCUAGGGAUUUGUGAGUCCAGCACUCCCUCCUUAAUCGUCGUUUUGCUUUCCUCGUUUCAGUUACUUGCGUCAACUGCAGUAAAAGAAUAUUAAGAUAUUUUGAGAGAGAGAAGGGAAGCAAAGAGAGACCACAUUCACAUAACUUUUAUUACAGUAUAUUUUAAUAAUUGUUCUGUAUUAUUAUUAUUGUUGUUAAUCUCUCAUUGUGCCUAAUUUAUAAGUUCAACUUUAUCACAGGUCUGGAUGUAUGGGAGAAAACAGUAUCUAAAAGGUUCGCAGUUUCAGGCAUCCCCAUGAGGCUAAGGGGGGACUACUGUGUAACAAACUUCUUCCUUCAUGACAGUCAUUUCCAGAUCUGUGUGUCUUAUGGUACCUGAUUAAAACAAAUCCCAAAUACCAUUAAAACAGCACUGACUUCAUACUAGGCACUCUAUGCUUUAUGUGGAUUGUGUCAUUCACUUGUGACAAGGGCAAUAUUGGGCAAAUCCUAUCAUUCCCCUGGUUUUAAGGCUGAAAAAACAGAGGCUUAGAGAGGUGUAGUGACUUGCUCAGAGUCCUCGCUGUAGCAUGGGGUAAAGCCAGGAUAUGACUUCACAUAGUUUAACUCCAGAACUUACACUGUCAUCUUGUUUUGUUUUUCUGCUUCUCUUGUGUGUCAAAAGAAUUCCUCCUUAGUUGUUCUCAUAUGGGGCAACCAUUAAAUUAGGCAGUGUAAAAAACAAGUUAUGCAGAAUAAAGUAGCAAGAGCAAUCUACUCUGAAAUUAGUGUUUUCCCUCACUUUAGCACCUUUAGCUGACCCAGCUUCCUACCGCCCAGACAUUUUACAAAAAUCUCUCUCUGGAGUUGCCUCCUGAUCUGGAUUAGGAGUCACAUAAGAAAAUCAGUCUCAUGAGUCCAUCAUUUUUCCUCAUUUCUGACCAGAAGUAUUCUGCCCCAUUUGCUUCACCUUAUUUCUAAAUCACUCUAGCUCAUUUAAACAAACAAACAAACAAACAAACAAACAAUGAAACUUACUGCAAGGGCACAGAAUAACUAUCAUUAAAGAUGUCUGUGUAAUUAUGCCAUAAGUUGCAAGGCAAACUCAUGAAGCAUUCCGUAUGUUCUUUGAGCAGUGGCACUGUGGCUCGAACCAAUGUCCAGCUUCCACACUAUCUGCUUGGAAGAGGAUUACCCUUAUUUGGAAGUCUCAGUUUUGAGGAUUUGGGGAAAGCAGGCACGCAAGCAGACACACCUUAUUCUCUACAGCAUCAUUUAUACCUCAACUAAGUCAGCUGAACAAAUGCCUGCUGAAAAGUUCUGGGAGUGGCAUAGCUAAGAACCAGAAAGGCGAUCUUUCUUUUGGAUUAAGUCAACAGAGUCAUACCCACAAGGAGAACUAUCAAAUAUCAGAUGCGAGAGGUGAAGUGGGGUUAUAAGGUGAGAGCUGAGAAGGGAGAAACAGGGUGAGUAAACCUCCAUGACUCAGACGAAUACUGAACUUUGCAUUUCAGGAAGAAUGAGGGUUUGGGUUGCUUCUUUUUCUUUUUAAAAACCUCUUCUUUUCAGUAUUCCUUGGGGGGCGGGGUUCUCAGAGGAUUAAGGGUUUGGAAAAUUAAACAGAUAAGAUACUAAGAGUUAAAUAACACAUAAGAGGAAGAAGGAUUAGAAAGAGGAAGAAGAAAAGUAGAAAGUGUGGUAGGUACCUUCCUACCUCAAGGUAGAAGUAGUGUGUUUCUAAGUACAGAGAUAGAUUUUGUCUGAUUGGGGAGAAAUCCUGCAAAAGGAUUAGGAAGUGAGUGAGCUGAGAGAUGAAUUCCAGGGAUUGGAGGUCAUACAGAGAGCAGGGGAAGCACAAAACUAGGGCAUGGAGUUUUGGGUGGAACUGAGGAGGCGUAAAAAAAAAGUGCUGAAGUUGUGAGCUGGGAAAGGUAUCAAGUACAUAAUUUGGCAAUUUUGUUAUUUCUAAAAGAUAAGCUAACAAAUUACUUGGCUGUCAUAAAAGUUCACUUUUUAUGGAUGUUAAAAUACAUGGAGAUGUUCAUUUACAAACAUGGUGAGCUUGAGCCAGAGAGCCACCAUGAUACAUUUCAGGUAGUAUACGUUUAGUGUGACUGUGGCGCACUACCACCACCUAG